AGAGUUUGAUCCUGGCUCAGGAUGAACGCUAGCGACAGGCUUAACACAUGCAAGUCGAGGGGCAGCGGAGGAGUCAGCUUGCUGACUUUUGCCGGCGACCGGCGCACGGGUGAGUAACACGUAUGCAACCUGCCCGCCACAGGGGGAUAACCGGGAGAAAUCCCGACUAAUACCGCGUAGACCGCGAGGGGGCAUCCCGACGCGGGGAAAGGACAUGGUCCGGUGGCGGAUGGGCAUGCGGCGCAUUAGCUAGUUGGCGGGGCAACGGCCCACCAAGGCGACGAUGCGUAGGGGUUCUGAGAGGAAGGUCCCCCACAUUGGUACUGAGACACGGACCAAACUCCUACGGGAGGCAGCAGUGAGGAAUAUUGGUCAAUGGGCGAGAGCCUGAACCAGCCAAGUCGCGUGAGGGAGGAAGGUCCUACGGAUUGUAAACCUCUUUUGCCGGGGAGCAAAGGGGCCAUUGAUGGCAGGAUGAGCGUACCCGGAGAAAAAGCAUCGGCUAACUCCGUGCCAGCAGCCGCGGUAAUACGGAGGAUGCGAGCGUUAUCCGGAUUUAUUGGGUUUAAAGGGUGCGCAGGCGGACUCGUCAAGUCAGCGGUAAAAAUUCGGGGCUCAACCCCGUCCUGCCGUUGAAACUGCGAGACUGGAGUGCGACAGAGGAAGGCGGAAUGCGAGGUGUAGCGGUGAAAUGCAUAGAUAUCGCGCAGAACUCCGAUUGCGAAGGCAGCCUUCCAUGUCGUGACUGACGCUGAGGCACGAAAGCGUGGGGAUCGAACAGGAUUAGAUACCCUGGUAGUCC
rnacentral:rRNA from 1 species